ensembl:snRNA U6 U6 spliceosomal RNA
GUGCUUACUCUAACAGCACAUAUACUAAAAUUGGGACAAUACAAAGAUUAACAUGUCCCAUGGGCAAAGAGCACAUGUAAAUUUGUGAAGUGCUCCAUAUUUUA